ensembl:lncRNA novel transcript
ACAACAGAGCAGGCUGUCUGCUCCCUGCAAGCCAAGCUGGAGCUGGCAGAUGGGGAUCAGGGCUGGGACCUUCCUGACAAUGAUCAUCGCCACUGCUGAGGCUCAGUAAAAUGGCCAGGAGCAGUUUCAUGUGGCUGAGUCUGUCUCUGUCUGUACCCCACCUGGCAUGGGGGAGUGAGGAGGCGUCUCUCUCCGAGUCUCAAGGCACCUGCCUCUGGUGACAGGCUGUCCUUGGAAUGAGCCAAUUAGACUGCAAAAGUCAUCUCUCCACCUUCCCAUCCCACCCACCAGCUCCCACCAGCACACACAGAGACACACCUGGUUCCCUAAGCUUUGCGCAGACAACAUGCCCAGGAGGAGCACUUGACUCUGCUGAACAAGUCGCCCCUCCCACCCCUAGCAGCUGAAGUUCUCAUCUGCUCCACAGAAAGCAGCCCUCAAAUGCUGCCUCUGCAUCCCACAGCUGUGUGACCUUGGGCACAUCCCUUAAUCUCUCCUUCCCCUGUUCCCCCAAAAAGGGUCUCAAUACAGCAUUAUGCUGCCUUCUCAACUGACCCCUCCAGGAGAGGAUAAUGAGGACUCGAUACCCAUUGGGAAGGCCUUCCCGUUAAAGGAGGAAAACGCCGAGUUUGCCAGCACAACAGCACCCACCUCCUCCCAAGAGGAGCCUCAGCACUGGGGCAGUAAUGUCGCUCGGGAUCAGAGGUGGGACCAGCCAUUUCACCUGGAGAAGAGCAGGGCUGUCCUUCCAGCUCCUUGCUAGACAAGAAGGGAAGAGAUCUUCUCCUUAAGAGGCUGUUGCUUAAUGAAAAAUAAAACUAAAUGCAGCCAUAGAUAGCACACUGAUGGUGGGAAAAUCUUACUUGACCCCCCCGCCCCGCCGAUUCUGUGCCUUUCUGAGGGCAAGAGGAAAAUGGAAGUACCCUUAUCUGAUGGUUCCUGUCUAAGGAGGCAGGAAAAUGUCAGCUGGUAAUAGGUCCCUAUUUUCUUCCAGACAUCCACACGGAUGCUCCCAGUGUCCAGGAGAGGCCAUGCGUGGAGCCUGCAGGAGAGGGGGGCAGUGUGCACCAUCUCUAGGAGCAGCUUUUCUAGAUGAAGGGCCUAGACUAUGGGAUCUGCAGAGUUGCAGGAGAUGUAUGCAGACUCCACCCUCUGGACCAGGGGCUGUGCUGAGGCCAAUUGUGUUAGGGAAGGCUUUUAGAGCACAGCUGCACACCAGGCACUUGACAUACGAUGUAUCAUUAGUGAGCUCAGCCUCUGAUGAGGCAGGUGUCAGUAUUAGCCCCCAUUUUACAGAUGGGGAAGGGGAGGCACAGAGAGGUCAGGAACUGGCCCAGAGUCACUCAGUCCCCUAGCUAGACAUGAACCCAGGCAGUCUAAUUCCAGAGUGUGCACUCUUAACUACUGUGUGAUGUAUGUGGACUAGAAAGCAGGACACACAGCGAGCAGGGAAAUUCACUCCGUGUGGUGUGGGCACUUAGCACGACUUCUUAGGGACCAGAGAAGCUUCCACUAUCAUAUUUUGUUUUCAUUAGUAAUGGUUUUUUAAAAUGUCAACAAUCGCUGAGCCAACUUCUCAUAAUCAAUCCUUUAUAUUUAAAAAAAGGUCAAAACAAAGUUACAUCGUGGAUGAUUUUAAAUGUUUACAUUUCACAAAUUAAUGCUUUUAGCCUUAUCAAUACAAUGCAAUAAAAAUUAUGCUCUUUCCAAGAUAGCUACAUUAUUUUAAAAAAUAAUGUGAUUUCAGAGUGCACUCAAGUAACAUGGGCUGGCGAUGGGGCAAAAAAUGUAAGCGUGGAUAAUCAUCUCUCUUUGAAUGUUGUUGCUCUGAGGCUACAAGUCUAACUCUCCUCUUUAGAGAAUAACAUCAAAAGUCCAAUCUGGGAGGAAUCAGCCCGAUGUUGCUGGCUUUGAAGAUGAAGGAAGGUGGCCAUGAGCCAAAGAAAGGACUUCUGUUCUAC